rnacentral:rRNA from 1 species
GCAGUCGCCGCGGUAAUACAGAGGGUGCAAGCGUUAAUCGGAAUUACUGGGCGUAAAGCGUGCGUAGGCGGCUUCUUAAGUCGGAUGUGAAAUCCCUGAGCUCAACCUAGGAAUUGCAUUGGAUACUGGGAAGCUAGAGUAUGGUAGAGGAUGGUAGAAUUCCAGGUGUAGCGGUGAAAUGCGUAGAGAUCGGGAGGAAUACCGAUGGCGAAGGCAGCCAUCUGGCCUAACACUGACGCUGAGGUACGAAAGCAUGGGGAGCAAACAGGAUUAGAUACCCCGGUAGUCCCUGUCUCUUAUAC